GUCAUGCAGAUGGUCAAUCCCUUCAAAUCCACUGCACAGGCCUCCUUCACGGUUCAUACAACUCCCUCCUCAGAUUCACUGGAACAACCAGCAGACACAGCUCAGAACCCUGGUAUGCUGAAAGGGGUCAUGCAGAAGGUCAACCCAUUCAAGCCUACCUCACAGGUCUCCAAAGCACCAUAUUCAGAGUUGCCGGAGCGGGGAAAGGAAGACUCUACUCAGAACUCUGGAAUGUUGAAAGGAAUGAUGCAGAAAGUCAACCCCUUCAAGUCUUCUGCACAGGUGUCAAAGAGUGAUCCUCCAGAUGAUUCUGCAAAUCAUCAAGAGACUGGAAAAGAACGUCAAGACAAACAAGUACCGCACCAAGUUCUGCAUAAUCUGCUACCCUCUGUGUUAAUUUGUGGCUUGUUCUUGCAGUGCUGGGCCUCCUUAUUUAUUUACUUAUUUUUAAAUUAUAAUUUAGAGUCCAGGAAUGAUUCAGAAAGUCAACCCAUUCAGAUCCUCGCAGCCAAAGGAUGUUGAGCCUCAACACAAUGACCUCACAUCCAGCGCUGGAAGCCUGACAGGCAACAACAACUUGCCAGAGAAGCAGGUCGAUCCCUGUCUGUUUCAUACCGUGACACGUGUUUGUUUUUUUUCUCCCUACAUUUAGUAUUUUAAC
rnacentral:lncRNA from 1 species